CCUACGGGAGACAGCAGUGGGGAAUAUUGGGCAAUGGGCGCAAGCCUGACCCAGCAACGCCGCGUGAAGGAAGAAGGCUUUCGGGUUGUAAACUUCUUUUCUGCGGGACGAAGAAAGUGACGGUACCUCAGGAAUAAGCCACUGCUAACUACGUGACAGCAGCCGCGGUCAUACGUAGGAUCCGAGCAUUAUACGGAGUGACUGGGUGUAAAGAGUUGCGUAGGUGGCAUAAUAAGUAGCUAGUGAAAUGUGGUGGGUGAACCAUUCAGACUAUUAGCUAAACUGUUAAACUCGAGACCGUGAGGGGUAACUGGAAUUUAUAGUGUAGGGGUGAAAGGCGGAGAUAUAAGAAGGAACACCAAUAGCGUAGGAAGGUUGCUGGGACGGUUCUGACACGAAGGCACGAAAGCGUAGGGAGCAAACAGGAUUAGAUACCCGAGUAGUC
rnacentral:rRNA from 1 species